UUUGAAGUGGAACACACACUGACAUGUCUAUGGCAAUCUGCCCUUCCUUAAUAUAUUCUUCUAAUUGAGCUUCACUGAUUGAGUUACAAUGGAACAAGUCCAAAAUGCAAGCAACUGGAAGCACUCUGCAGAAUGUAAAUAAGGUGCUGCAGAAUAAGAACAUGUGAUUUUUGUUUUGACAACCGAAUGGCAUCUUGUCCUCAAGGAAUUAUAUCUCUGUCUUAAGCUACACCUCUACUAAGUGUAUAUACAUGGCAGACAUUUGACACCUCAUCAGUUGGAGGUGUUUUAUAUGAAAGUGAUGGUUUCCAUCAAGGCUUCUAUGGGCCCGUGUGUCUUCAUCCAGGAUUAUAAUCACUGAGAAUGUAUAAGCUCUUAACCCAGUUCACCAUGGCCAAUGCAUCUGGAUGCUAACGAAAAUCUUGGCACACCAUGACCUGAUUGGAGAAUCGCCCUUUUUCCUGAAAAAUCGUCUCAAAGCCUUGAUGCUAUCAGAGUGUGUCAAAGCUAAUAAGUGUGUGUGUGUGUGUGUGUAGCUGAUGUAAUACGAGCAGUUAUAAUCUGGAUGUGUCUCUGGUUACUGAGAGACCCAUUGCGAGAGCUGCUGUUGCUCUCCUUGAUCCUGGAGCCACGCUUCACGCAUCAGUAAUCCUAGGCCCAUCUCAGGGAUUUGUCUGCCAUUAAGUGAUGGCUUUUUGAUGUGUGUGUGUGUGUGUGUGUGUGUGUGUGUGUGUGUGUAUGUGUAGUUGAGGGUGGGGGGUAAUGUUAGCUGGUACUGUUCGUAGAAGAACACACCGCACACAUCUCUAAACACACUCACACAGCCCUUUUUAGAGGGGCAGGGACCUCUAAAUCCGCCCAGUCAUGCAGUGGUAAGCGUGCAGAGUGGAGCUGUCUGUCCAUGGAUGAGCUCAUGGGAACGUCCUCGCCAGCGGCCGUUUCCAGGUGGAGGAGCUGGACCUGAGCAACAGAUCUCUCCUUGACACUUGACAUGCAACAGGUGCCCCAGACCAGUGAUGAUUCUAAUAGUGAUAGGCGUGUCCUCCCUCCUCCUGCCCCACGCGCUGGCCCUGUGGGCGUGCACACGUUCCUGCCCGCCCCGCUGCACGUGCACGGAGGAGAAGAGCUGCAGCGUGCUGUGUGACCGCUCGGCCUUGGGCGACCUGCCCAAGGAGUUCCCCUGCGAGGCGUCUGCCAUCAACCUGGACAAGAACAGCCUCAAGUUCCUGGCGGAGCGCGCGUUCGGGACGCUGCCCUCACUGCGCUUGCUCUCGCUGGACCACAACAACAUCUCUUUCAUCACGCCAGGGGCUUUCAAAGGGCUGCCCAACUUGGUGGAUCUCCGCAUGGCCAACAACGAGUACAUCAGCUACCUGCACACGCGCACCUUCACCUCCCUCGGGCGCCUGGUGCGGCUAGACAUAUCCAACUGCAACCUCUUCAGCAUGCCCGACCGCAUCUUCAUUGAGCAGGUGGACCUUCGCGAGCUGUUCUGCUUCCAGAACAUGUUCCGGCGUGUUCCGAGCGCCCUUCGGGACAUGGAGAACCUGACACACGUGUACCUGGAGCGGAACAAGAUCGAAGCGGUGGCCUACAACUCCCUGCUGGGCCUCCUCAACCUGAAGUACCUGAACUUGCAGGAGAACCGCAUCACGACAAUCCACGACAACUCCUUCCAGGACCUGCGCAAGCUCGAGAACUUCUACCUGAACGACAACCUGCUCUCCGAACUGCCCCAGUACACCUUCAGAGGCCUCGUCUCCCUCAAGAUGCUCAACCUCGGAGGGAACUUCCUCUCCAACGUAUCCCGGACCUGGUUCGGCGAUCUGGUGGAGCUAGAGGUGCUCUACCUGGACCGCAACCGCCUGCUGUUCAUCGAGGAGGGCGCGUUUGAGAACCUCACCAGCCUCAUCACGCUGCACCUCAACAGCAACAACCUCACCAUCCUGCCCCUCCCCACCUUCCAGCCCAUCUACUUCGUCGGGCACCUGUACCUCUUCCGCAACCCCUGGGAAUGUGACUGCAGUCUUGAGUGGCUUAAGGAGUGGAAAGAAAACUACAAGCUGGUGCGAGACAUCCCCUGUGCCAGCCCAUCGUCCGUGGCCGGCCUUGACCUCAGCGAGGUGGUGUACACCCGCCUCAAUGGCACCUGCAUAGACCCAGGAGAACGGAACCUGACCACGGCCGCUCCCGAGACCCCCACCACAGAGAGCAAGCUCAACAGUCUCAUCUCCAAGCUGCUCCAGCAGGAGCUCAAGGAGGAGGCCACAAACUCCUCGGAGAGCUUCCGCAACGGAACCGUGGCCGAGAGCCAGGUGUCGGCCGGAAUACGCCUUAUUGGGUCUGGCCAAUGGCUGCUGCUGUUAUUGUUUGCUUGUCUGCACAUUGGCCAGUCAGGCACCUUGAUGGUGUUUUAUCAGCUUUGUGACAGGCCAUGAAAAGUUUGGCAAAGUUGUGGAGAAAGAGUUCAGCAUAGUGGGGGAAGAAUCCAGUUUUCCAUGGCCCGUGGAUGAAAGGGUUCAGAGUCCGGGCUGUCAAGUGGAAUCCUGCUUUCCUGGAAAGGCUGAUCCUGAUAGCUAAAUAGGGGAAAGGAAGAAUACUUUCAUAUACCAUAGUUCUGGACCACUGCUUUCAUUCAUUCUUUCUUUUUGAGAAAUGGAAAACGGGAAGUGUGGAGUCUUGGCUUCAGGUGCUGUAUCGUGUGGCAUGGUCUGGUUCUCCCGGCCACGUAGAGAUGCAUAUUUUUCCAAGUGCUAUCCAGACACAUGGACAUAACAUGGACUAACUACACCCAAGUAGUGUUGUGUUUGUGCACAUUAGCUAUAUUAUGGUGUUAUUUUAUUGUGUUUUCAAGUCAACAGAUUCCAUUAACCAGCUUUGCUCAUGGUUAUGAGAAAAAUGCGGUUUCAUUUUUUAAAAUUUCUAGUUUGCAUUUUCCAUUCCAUCAUACAUCUGCUUGAUUAUUUCAUUAAUUGAGAAUAAUAACAAUGUAUGAAAAAUUAUUCCUGGAUGCUAUAAGAAAUACAUGCUGCUAAAUAAGAUGAAAGGGAUGAUCAGAAGCCUUGUUUGUUUGUAAAAACUUAUUUGCAAGGGAUUUGAUCCAGCAUGUGAAAUGUUCUUCCACGUAAUCUAACGUAUACACAGGCAUUUAUGUUCUCUUAAAACAUUUCUGAGUCUUGGCAACAUUGCAAUAUAAUUUUAUUUGUUUACAGUUAAGAUCAAGAAUAUUCUUAGUUUAUAUGCGGUGCAAAGGCUGAACACCCAUGUGUGGAAGUUCGUGGCGAUUGAGGUGCUGAAAUGUAAACUCUGAAAGUUGUAUAGUGAUUGAAUUUGUAUGCCAUCAAUCUGAA